rnacentral:tRNA from 1 species
UAGAGAAUAGUAUAGUGGAGGUACGCGGGGUUUUGAGCUCCUUAGUACAGGUUCGAGUCCCUUUUUUCUA